GACCAGGAAAAAAAAGAAGAGAAUACAGAACUGCAUUGAUUUUUCACUUGGCAGACCUGGAGCAAUUUAUAAUCCCCAACAAGGAGCUUGUGUGACUUCCUCCAAAAAUGACCACAUGACACAAAGUACUUCUCAGCAGACAUAAGAAAACUGAAAUUAUACCCAGCAUCCCAUAUGAUCACUAUGGCUUAAAUCUGGAUUUUGGCAACAAUAGAAACAACAGAAUGUAUGCAAAUUCAUGGAAGCUGAGAAACUCACUAGUGAAUUAAAAUUGGUUCAAGAUAAAAAUCAAGAAGGAUAUUAAAAACUUGUUAUAGUUAAAUAAAAGUGAAAAUACUAAAUAUCCAAGGCUAUAGGAAACAAUAAAGGUAUUUUUAAGCAGCAAGUUUAUAACACAAAGUGCCUACAUAAAAAUAGUAGAGAAAUGUCAUAUUAAUAACUUUGUGGCACAGUAGAAAGUUCUUGAAGAACCAAGAAGAAAUUAUACCCAACAUGAGUUGACAGAAGAAACAAUCAGGUUUGGAGUGGAAAUCAAUGAACUAGAAACAGUGCAAUUAGAAAGAAUCAAUGAUAUGGAGAACUGUUUCUGUGAGAAAAAUCUACAAAAUGGGCAAAACAUUAGCCAAUUUAAAGAAGAAAAUUUAAAGACAAAUUUAUUUUGGUGUAGUUAUGUUCAGGCAUGACAUCAGUGAUAUUAUAUAGUGACAAAUUGUAAGUUCAUCAAGAAACUGCAUGUGUGAAUAGUGUAUAGACUUUUAGCUAAAUAAAUAAGUUGCUCAUGUUCUGCAGCUAGAGUUACUGUGAAAGACUAUACUUAUUAGUACAUCACACAGAUUAGAUUAGUCUAGCUGAAUUUAUCUCAGUAGCUCAAUUCAGUUUAAUUGCGAGAAAAUAAACAUUAAAGAUAUUUAGAACUGUAUAAAUCCAAGAUGGAACUAAAUGAGUGAUAGGAAGGAGCAUAAAUUCAACCAGUGUUACUACUGAUUUUCAAGUUAUUAAUUUUAAACUCAUGAUUUGCUCCAAUUGCCCAUUAAUUUAUCUUCAAAUUCCAUCUCUUCAACCUCCCAAGUAUCCAAGACAAAACCAAAUCUUACUUAAAAUUAUCUUAAGGAGAAAUAUGUGAUAAAAAUGAGGAUAAGAUGUUUCAGCUUUUCCUGUUUAAUAUAGUCAACAGCUAAUAAGAAACUCUAAAGUCAACGUGCUGAUAAUGUCACAGCCACUGUAAAUUACAUAAUGACUAUAGGGCUUGUGUCGAAAGCAAUAUAACAAAAUGCAUGUGUGCGCAUGUCUCUUUAUAGUGCCAGAAUGGAUAUUGAGAGUGUAUUCUAUGACAUCGUGGCUACGUUAUUAAAACUAGAUAAAGAUUUUAUUGCCUGUAACAAUCUCUUUCAAAAAAAGUAUUUAAACUUUCUGAGUCUCAGAUUUUCCCUGCAUUGCUUAGAUUUAUGACAUCCUAAUGCCAUACAUGAUUUGAAAAUCUCAGGAGGCAUAGCUUUAGUAACUAACCAGGAAGAUUCAUUGAAUAACUGUGAUGUGAGAUUUUUUUAUGUUUUCAUUUAAUUGUCUAUUGAUGUAGAGUGUUUUAAAUAAUGGAGAAAAUUAUGUUUUUUUUUCCUAUUAAAUUUCUCAGUGUUUCUCUUUGUAGGAUCCUAGUUCUGAAACACAUUUAGAUACAUUUCUUGUCAAGUUGUUUGUUUUAAUAAAGAAUAAU